rnacentral:tRNA from 1 species
GCUGGCUCAGUUGGUAGAGCAUGCAACUGUUGAUUUCAAGGUUGUGAGUUCGAGUCCCACAAUGGGCA